rnacentral:snRNA from 1 species
GUCUAGUCGCUAAACAUAUAUUAAAUUGGGAACGAUACAGAGGAAAGAAUUAGCAUGCCCCUGCUCAAGGAUGACACCGCAAAUUCGUUGAAGCGUUCUCAUUUUGC